GUGCAGAUGCAAGAAAAAAGGGUCCUCGCGCUUUCUGUCUGUCUGAUUGUGGCAACCAAGAUUGAAUGGGGGAAUACAGUG
ensembl:snoRNA